UUUCCGUUGGUGAACCAGCGGAGGGAUCAUUACCGAAGUUACCUUCAAAACCCACUGUGAACCUUACCUCUUGCCGCGUUGUCUCGGCGGGAGGCGGUGUGCGUCGCGCGCCCUAGCGGGCCGCGCCGCUCCCGUCCCCGCCGGCAGCGCCAAACUCUAAAUGCACAGCGGACUGUACGUUCUGAUUUACAAAAAAAACAAGUUAAAACUUUCAACAACGGAUCUCUUGGUUCUG
rnacentral:misc_RNA from 1 species